GCCUCUGUGGCUCAGUAGGUAGAGCGAAGGUUUCGUAAACCUUAGGCCGUGGGUUCGAGUCCCACCAGGGGCU
rnacentral:tRNA from 1 species